rnacentral:rRNA from 1 species
AGACUUUGAUCNUNGCUCAGAACGAACGCUGGCGGCGUGCCUAACACAUGCAAGUCGCGCGAGAAAGGGGACUUCGGUCUCUAAGUAAAGCGGCGCAUGGGUGAGUAUCGCGUGGGCAAUCUGCCUUCNAGACCGGGACAACUUGGNGAAAGCCGGGCUAAUACCGGAUAAGCCCACGGGGGCUUCGGCUCCUGUGGGAAAAGGGUGCCCUCUCCAUGGAAGGUACCGCUCGAAGAUGGGCCCGCGUCCGAUUAACUUGUUGGUGAGGUAACGGCUCACCAANGCUGAGAUCGGUACUGGUCUGAGAGGACGAUCAGCCACACUGGGACUGAGACACGGCCCAGACUCCUACGGAAGCAACAAUGGGGGAAUAUUUGCGCAAUNGGGGGAAACCUUACNCACCAACCCCCNCGUUGAAGUGAUNAAGGCCCCUUCUGGUUCNUAAAANCNUNUGUCAAGGUGGGACCAAUUGGCCCCCNGGUNGAAUAAAUUCCCNUUNGGCUUUUUACCGGNACCCNCCCCAAAGGAAAACNCCCGGCUUAACUUCCUU